UCAGUCGGCCGGGCGGCCGCUCCCGUUCGCGGGGGAGGAAAGUCCGGGCUCCAUGGAAAGACGGUGCCGGAUAACGUCCGGCGGGGGCGACCCCAGGGAAAGUGCCACAGAAAGCAGACCGCCAUCGCGCGCGAUGGCAAGGGUGAAAGGGUGCGGUAAGAGCGCACCGCGGACGCGGUAACGCGGACGGCACGGCAAACCCCACCGGGAGCAAAACCGAAUAGGGACGACAAGCGGCGCGCCCGGCGUGUCGCGGAGCACUUUCCGGCUCGUCGUCCGGGUUGGUUGCAGGAGGCGGUCGGCGACGAUCGUCCCAGAUGAAUGGCCGCCACGUUCGCGGACCUGCGGGUCGGCGGGCCAUACAGAACCCGGCUUACAGGCCGGCUGACCGG
rnacentral:RNase_P_RNA from 3 species